GGGUGAUUAGCUCAGCUGGGAGAGCACCUCCCUUACAAGGAGGGGGUCGGCGGUUCGAUCCCGUCAUCACACC
rnacentral:tRNA from 1 species